GGGGCGGAGUGUGGCGGCAAAACGCAGACUUAAGAGUCAGAGUCGGGGCGCAGAAGAGUGGGAGUAGGGGUGGAGUGAGACGGGGGCAGCUGUCGUCACAGUCGGUCGGGCGCACAAAUUCACGUCCUUACUUACACAGGCAGCUGGCCUGUGGGUUCUGACCAGCUGGCUGACUUAGCGCUGGGCCCUUAAGGCUAAAUUGGCAGGGCCUGAAGAGGGAGACACUGAGGGCCUGUCAGAGAGCACCCAUCCAGGAGAAAACGGGCUUCAUCCUGGGGACAGAGCCAGGCCCUGCUGGAGACCCUAACAGGGUAAAAGUAAAGUUCUGUCUCCCGUACACCUUGAACCAGAGUGAAGCAUGAUGGAAGAACAGAAGAGGAAGGCAUGGGAGAAAACUAACUAAGGGGGAACAUCCCUAACGUUGAACAUAAGCAUAACUGAACCUAGCGAUCUGAGAUGAAUAGUGUAGCCACACUGGAAGAAAAAAAAAUAACCAACUGAAAUGACUUUUGGGCGCAGUACAUCGACUAUAAACAUCUUCAAGUCCAAAGACAAGAACUGCAACCACAUACUGAACUGUCCCAUAGUAGGGACCCGAUCACCCAGGAACACACAACACUUCGAUCAUUUUGCUCCUAUCUGAAGAGGAUAUUUACCUUUACCUCCACUCGAUCUCCGGAAAGAAUCUUCUUGUACACAAGAGGAAAAGACAAAUCCGGGCAGGCUGAAAGAGGCAGCCGAAGCCCACAGGAUGAAAACGUGAUGUUUCCGUUCAUUUGAUUUUCGGAGACCAUUCGACGCCCCUCCCCAGCCCACACGUCUACUCUUGAGAAUGGACGCCUUGUCCUGACUGACGCCCUCUGUUCAAAUUUUCCUUUCGUUGUCGCAAGAUUAGGUUACUACGUAAUCCGAAAGGUCCUACUGAGGAUUAAGACAAUUUCAUGUUAAAUUGGUGACAAAACUCUUAGUAUUUAAGGUUGAGUUGAUUCUCUGUUGCGUAUUGUAUGUACUUUUCGUUGCAAGGAAGGGGAGACUUAACCCACCGCCUCGGUGGGGCCUGCAACUUCUGGACGCCGCGGGACCCCGUCUUCUCGGGUCUCCCCUCCGGGUCCCGACUCCUCGCCGCCCUCCCCCCAUCCUUCGCUCCAGGCACCGGCGGUCUGCCGGGACACUAGCACAUCCGUUGUCCCAGAGCUGGAGCCGCGACGCGGGGAAGCGCGCGACAAGGCGUGGCGUAUGUAGAUGAACAAGCGCGCAGAGGCUGCCGGUCCCGGACCGCCUGGGCGCGCACGUCCCGCGUGGGGGCUAGGCAAAGGCGCCCGCGGUGGUUUUGCGGACGGGAGAGGUUGGAGCUGAGGGGGGGCUGCGGGCCUCCGGGGCGCGGAAGCCGCGUGGGGCAAGUGACCGUGUGUAAGAAGCGUGGCGAGCGCGAGGGUGUGGGUCGAGGCGGGGCGAGCAACUCAUACUUACCUGGCAGGGGAGAUACCAUGAUCACGAAGGUGGUUUUCCCAGGGCGAGGCUUAUCCAUUGCACUCCGGAUGUGCUGACCCCUGCGAUUUCCCCAAAUGUGGGAAACUCGACUGCAUAAUUUGUGGUAGUGGGGGACUGCGUUCGCGCUUUCCCCUGA